UACGUAGGGGGCAAGCGUUGUCCGGAAUCAUUGGGCGUAAAGCGCGUGUAGGCGGCUCGAUAAGUCUGCUGUGAAAGUCCAGGGCUCAACCCUGGGAUGCCGGUGGAUACUGUCGAGCUCGAGUCCGGAAGAGGCGAGUGGAAUUCCCAGUGUAGCGGUGAAAUGCGUAGAUAUUGGGAGGAACACCAGUGGCGAAGGCGGCUCACUGGACCGGAACUGACGCUGAGGCGCGAAAGCGUGGGGAGCAAACGGG
rnacentral:rRNA from 1 species